rnacentral:rRNA from 1 species
CCUACGGGAGGCAGCAGUAGGGAAUUUUCGUCAAUGGGCGCAAGCCUGAACGAGCGAUGCCGCGUGAGUGAAGAAGGCCCUCGGGUCGGUAAGCUCUGUUUCGGGGGAAAAAGGCAGCAUCAGGAAUUGGGUGCUGACUGAUGGUGCCCCGCCAGAAAGUCACGGCUAACUACGUGCCAGCAGCCGGGGUAAUACGUAGGUGGCGGGCGUUCACCGGGAUGAUGGGGCGUAAAGGGUGCGCAGGCGGUACUGCAAGGCUGGAGUGAAACGCAUGGGCUCAACUCAGGCAUGGCUUUGGAAACUGGAGGACUGGAGAGCGGGAGAGGGCGGUGGAACUCGAUGUGUAGCGGUAAAAUGCGUAGAUAUAUGGAAGAACACCAGUGGCGAAGGCAGCAGCCUGGCCUGUUGCUGACGCUGAGGCACGAAAGCGUGGGGAGCAAAUAGGAUUAGAUACCCGGGUAGUC